rnacentral:rRNA from 1 species
UAGAGUUUGAUCCUGGCUCAGGAUGAACGCUAGCGGCAGGCUUAACACAUGCAAGUCGAGGGGUAACAGAAUAGCUUGCUAUUGCUGACGACCGGCGCACGGGUGCGUAACGCGUAUACAACUCGCCUUAUACAGGAGAAUAGCCCAGAGAAAUUUGGAUUAAUGCUCCAUAGUAUCAAGCCCUCGCAUGAGGAUUUGAUUAAAGCUCCGGCGGUAUAAGAUAGGUAUGCGUUAGAUUAGCUAGUUGGUAAGGUAAUGGCUUACCAAGGCAACGAUCUAUAGGGGGCCUGAGAGGGUGAUCCCCCACACUGGUACUGAGACACGGACCAGACUCCUACGGGAGGCAGCAGUGAGGAAUAUUGGUCAAUGGACGUAAGUCUGAACCUGCCAUGCCGCGUGCAGGAAGACGGCCUUAUGGGUUGUAAACUGCUUUUAUAUAGGAAGAAACCUAUCUACGUGUAGAUAGCUGACGGUACUAUAAGAAUAAGGACCGGCUAACUCCGUGCCAGCAGCCGCGGUAAUACGGAGGGUCCAAGCGUUAUCCGGAUUCAUUGGGUUUAAAGGGUCCGUAGGCGGUUUAUUAAGUCAGUGGUGAAAUCGUGUGGCUCAACCAUGCAACUGCCAUUGAAACUGAUAAACUUGAGAUAGAUUGAAGUUGGCGGAAUAUAACAAGUAGCGGUGAAAUGCAUAGAUAUGUUAUAGAACACCAAUUGCGAAGGCAGCUGACUAAGUCUUAUCUGACGCUGAGGGACGAAAGCGUAGGUAGCGAACAGGAUUAGAUACCCUGGUAGUCUACGCAGUAAACGAUGAUCACUCGUUGCUGGGCAAUUGAGCUCAGUGACCAAGCGAAAGUGUUAAGUGAUCCACCUGGGGAGUACGCUCGCAAGAGUGAAACUCAAAGGAAUUGACGGGGGCCCGCACAAGCGGUGGAGCAUGUGGUUUAAUUCGAUGAUACGCGAGGAACCUUACCAGGGCUUAAAUGUGGUCUGACAGCUUUAGAGAUAGAGUUUUCUUCGGACAGAUCACAAGGUGCUGCAUGGUUGUCGUCAGCUCGUGCCGUGAGGUGUUAGGUUAAGUCCUGCAACGAGCGCAACCCCUAUUAUUAGUUGCUAACAGGUUAAGCUGAGGACUCUAAUAAGACUGCCGGUGCAAACCGCGAGGAAGGUGGGGAUGGCGUCAAAUCAUCACGGCCCUUACGUCCUGGGCUACACACGUGCUACAAUGGCAGGUACAGAGGGCAGCUACCCCGCGAGGGGAUGCGAAUCUUCAAAGCCUGUCUCAGUUCGGAUCGCAGUCUGCAACUCGACUGCGUGAAGCUGGAAUCGCUAGUAAUCGGAUAUCAGCCAUGAUCCGGUGAAUACGUUCCCGGGCCUUGUACACACCGCCCGUCAAGCCAUGGAAGCUGGGGGUACCUGAAGUCGGUGACCGCAAGGAGCUGCCUAGGGUAAAACUGGUAACUGGGGCUAAGUCGUAACAAGGUAACCGUA